CCCCGGUUAGCUCAAUCGGUAGAGCGGCGGAUUGGUAAUCCGCGAGAUGCAGUUCGAGUCUGCUACUGGGGU
rnacentral:tRNA from 1 species